GAUGAACGCUGGCGGCGUGCCUAAUACAUGCAAGUCGAGCGAACGGACGAGAAGCUUGCUUCUCUGAUGUUAGCGGCGGACGGGGGAGUAACACGUGGAUAACCUACCUAUAAGACUGGGGUAACUUCGGGAAACCGGAGCUAAUACCGGCUGAUAUUUUGAACCGCAUGGUUCAAAAGUGACAGACGGUCUUGCUGUCACUUAUAGAUGGAUCCGCGCUGCAUUAGCUAGUUGGUAAGGUAACGGCUUACCAAGGCAACGAUGCAUAGCCGACCUGAGAGGGUGAUCGGCCACACUGGAACUGAGACACGGUCCAGACUCCUACGGGAGGCAGCAGUAGGGAAUCUUCCGCAAUGGGCGAAAGCCUGACGGAGCAACGCCGCGUGAGUGAUGAAGGUCUUCGGAUCGUAAAACUCUGUUAUUAGGGAAGAACAUAUGUGUAAGUAACUGUGCACAUCUUGACGGUACCUAAUCAGAAAGCCACGGCUAACUACGUG
rnacentral:rRNA from 1 species